GCCGUUAUUGGCACAGAUCUUGGUGGUAGUAGCAAAUAAUCGAAUGAGACCUUGGAGGACUGAAGUGGAGAAGGGUUUCGUGUGAACAGUGGUUGAUCACGAGUUAGUCGGUCCUAAGUUUAAGGCGAAAGCCGAAAAUUUUCAAGUU
rnacentral:rRNA from 1 species